ACGCUCGACACCUACGAGAGGCAGCAGUGGGGAAUAUUGCACAAUGGGGGAAACCCUGAUGCAGCAACGCCGCGUGAAGGAAGACGGUUUUCGGAUUGUAAACUUCUGUUCUUAGUGAAGAUAGUGACGGUAGCUAAGGAGCAAGCCACGGCUAACUACGUGCAAGCAGCCGCGGUAAUCUGAGCGGGCUGGCAAGGC
rnacentral:rRNA from 1 species